rnacentral:rRNA from 1 species
UACAGAGGGGGCAAGCGUUAUUCGGAAUUAUUGGGCGUAAAGGGCGCGUAGGCGGCUUGGCAAGUGGAUGGUGAAAUCCCUCGGCUUAACCGAGGAACUGCCGUCCAAACUGCUUCGCUUGAGACCGGGAGAGGUGAGUGGAAUUCCCAGUGUAGCGGUGAAAUGCGUAGAUAUCAGGAGGAACACCGGUGGCGAAGGCGGGUCUCUGGGCAGUAACUGACGCUGAGAAGCGAAAGCGUGGGGAGCGAACAGG